ensembl:lincRNA
CACGGGAGCGGGCUUCUGCUGUCCCCGCCGCAGCCUCCUCCUCGCCACCACCGCCUCCCCACCGCCCGGCCCGCGCAGGGGCUGGCGUCCGGGGGGCGUGCGGCGAUGCUUCUUUUCCGCCCGGCACCGCUACAGCCACCUCACAUCCGGGCGCGCGGCGGGGAAGGCGGCGCCGGGGCCCGGGUGCGUGGAGGGAGUUAUUAAGGGGGAGGGGGCCGAAGAGGAGGGGCGGAGGGCCGGGCUGCAGUUACGGCGGCUGAAGAGAGACAGCCCGAGCGGGUCGGGGUGGGGGCGCAAGAGCGAAGGCUGCGGGGAGCGGCGCUGGGACCGGCGCGGGCGGCUGGGAGGGGAGCGGCGGCCGAAGCAAAGGGCCGCCGAGCGGCGGAGGCACCGAGUGCAGAGCAUUGUAGACCAAGGAGCCAUGGAUAGGAGAAGUGUGGGGGAAACAGAAAAUGGAGAUACUUUCCUUGACCUGAAGAAGCCACCUGCCUCCAAAUGCCCCCAUCGCUAUACAAAAGUAGGGUUUGCCACUAAUGAAAUAGUGUUUCUUUUAGGUGGGGAAGUUAGUAACAUUGUAUAACCAUUUAAUUCCUAUUAAGUGGUAAUCUCACUCUGACUCACUACAUGGACUAAAUAUUAACUAAAUUUAGUAGAGCAUUACUUUGAACAUUUUUCUGCAAGUGCAGAUACCCAGAGUUUAAGCUGGAAUUUGCUUUGAGAGGUUUUUAGGUGAAGAGAAUGUAGGCUUAGAUUUUUUUUAAAUUGCAGAUCCGUAUACUUUGUAAGUUCUGUAACAGCUAUGUAAUUGGUAUGUUAUUGAUUUACAUACUGUACUCUGAGGAUUAAAGCUCUAGGAUGCGCCACAAAAUUAGUGUCCUCUGUAUUGAUGUUUCCUUAAGAGGCAGAUUCCUCAUAGGAAUGCUGUUGAGUGUGCUUGGUGGGGUAACUGGAUUUUUCAAUCCUAUUUUUUUACUUUCUAUUACAAAUUGGAUAUGGACUCAAAAAAGUAAGGCUUCAGUCAUAUUUCCCCUAGCUGAAAACUGGAGAUGUUUAAACUGCUUGUCCAGAUGACUGCUUUUGGGAGAGAGAGGAAGUCAUAUUUAUUAAGGAUCUUGCUUCAGUACAUGUCUUGUUGGCUACUGAAUGUUUCUGAAGAGGUUGACAGGACUCGAAUUGUAAAUUCAUUUCUCGGUCCCUAAAAUGUAUCAGACUGGUUCCCAUAAAACUUGCUUAACAGUGUUGAAGCAGUUGGGACACUGACGACAAGAACGGUUAUAUCCUAAUUGGGCCCACAUCCAUAUAUCCUUAGUAUGGACUUUUAAAAAUUUUUUUAAAUUUUAUUUAUUUAUUUAUUUAUUUUGCACGCGACAGGGCCUCAUUCUCUCGCCCAGGCUGGAGUGCAGUGGUGCGAUCGUGGCUCACUGCAGCCUGGACCUCCUGGGCUCAAGCCAUCCUCCCGUCUCAGUCUCCUGAGUAGCUGGGACCACAGGCGUACACCACUACGCUCGGCUAGUUUUUGUAUUUUUUAUAGAGAUGGGAAUUCGCCAUGUUGCCCAGGCAAACUCCUGGGCUCAAGCAAUCCGCCCACCUUGGCCUCCCAAAGUGUUGGGAUUACAGGGGUGAGCCACUGUGCCAGGCCUCAGUCAUGGCUCUAACAUGGCUAAUUGUCCCUGGCUUCCUGGAAUACUGACUGGUUAAUGCUUUAAAGCCAGCCCUUGUUUAUGUACUGGUGCACUACUCUUACCUACUUGAUAAAGUAUCAAAUGCUGUCAGCUUAAUAUUCAUUUUCAGCACUGAAGAAAACUGCUGUAAGA